rnacentral:rRNA from 1 species
AUUGAACGCUGGCGGCGUGCUUAACACAUGCAAGUCGUGCGGUAACAGGCGUAGCAAUACGUGCUGACGAGCGGCGAACGGGUGCGUAAUACAUGGGAAUCUGCCCUUUAGUGGGGAAUAACCCGGCGAAAGCCGGGCUAAUGCCGCAUAAGAUCUUCGGAUGAAAGCGGGGGACCGUAAGGCCUCGCGCUGAUGGAUGAGCCCAUGUCGGAUUAGCUAGUGGUGAGGUAACGGCUCACCAAGGCGACGAUCCGUAGCUGGUCUGAGAGGACGGACCAGCCACACCGGAACUGAGACACGGUCCGGACUCCUACGGGAGGCAGCAGUGGGGAAUAUUGGACAAUGGGGGCAACCCUGAUCCAGCGACGCCGCCGUGGGUGAAGAAGGCCUGCGGGUUGUAAAGCCCUUUCGGUGGGGAAGAAAGUCUCGACCUAAUACGUCGGGACCUUGACGUAA